UGAGAAUCCUGGAAGUGCGAUCAAUAAUUGACUUUGUGCUCGCGGCGCCAGCGAAACCUAGCAAAGAUGGAGUUGAUUCUGAUGCCUUGAGCCAAAGAUGUUGAUAGAGUGGGCGACUCUGAAUGCUCUGAAGUUAAUACUUGGAGGGAGGGAGGGGCUCCUAAAGAAGCAUGCCGAGAUGGCAGCUGAGAUCAAGAAUCUUUAUACUGACCUGCAAAUGUUGUUAGCGAUAAUUACAAGUAGCACAUUUGCACCACCAACACCACCAAAGGAGCCUAUAAGACCAAAAAAAAUGCACCACGCAACGUACACAGAAACAUGAAAAUUUUAGAUUCAGUAGCCUCCGAAAGGAACAAACAAGUUAAAGUCUCACUGCCGAAUCUUCAGCUGACAGACAAAUGCUUCAUUAUUUCAAACAGUUUCCCAUGAGAAGACGACGUUAUUGUAACAGUCAGGAGAUUCAGAGGCCACAAGGCAGACAGGAAACAAAA